CCUACGGGAGUCAGCAGUGAGGAAUAUUGGUCAAUGGCCGUAAGGCUGAACCAGCCAAGUAGCGUGAGGGAAGACUGCCCUAUGGGUUGUAAACCUCUUUUAUGCGGGGAUAAAGGUGUCCACGUGUGGAUGUUUGCAGGUACCGCAUGAAUAAGGACCGGCUAAUUCCGUGCCAGCAGCCGCGGUAAUACGGAAGGUCCGGGCGUUAUCCGGAUAUUUUGGGUUUAAAGGGAGCGUAGGCCGGUCUUUAAGCGUGCCGUGAAAUUUUGUGGCUCAACAAUGAGAGUGGGGCGCGAACUGGAGCCCUUGAGUGCGCGGAAGGCAGGCGGAAUUCGUUGUGUAGCGGUGAAAUGCUGAGAUAGCACGAAGAACCCCGAUUGCGAAGGCAGCCUGCCGCAGCGUUACUGACGCUGAAGCUCGAAAGCGCGGGUAUCGAACAGGAUUAGAUACCCGAGUAGUC
rnacentral:rRNA from 1 species